rnacentral:rRNA from 1 species
GAUGAACGCUGGCGGCGUGCCUAAUACAUGCAAGUCGAGCGAACAGACGAGGAGCUUGCUCCUCUGACGUUAGCGGCGGACGGGUGAGUAACACGUGGAUAACCUACCUAUAAGACUGGGAUAACUUCGGGAAACCGGAGCUAAUACCGGAUAAUAUAUUGAACCGCAUGGUUCAAUAGUGAAAGACGGUUUUGCUGUCACUUAUAGAUGGAUCCGCGCCGCAUUAGCUAGUUGGUAAGGUAACGGCUUACCAAGGCAACGAUGCGUAGCCGACCUGAGAGGGUGAUCGGCCACACUGGAACUGAGACACGGUCCAGACUCCUACGGGAGGCGGCAGUAGGGAAUCCUCCGCAAUGGGCGAAAGCUUGACGGAGCAACGCCGCGUGAGUGAUGAAGGUCUUCGGAUCGUAAAACUCUGUUAUUAGGGAAGAACAAAUGUGUAAGUAACUAUGCACGUCUUGACGGUACCUAAUCAGAAAGCCACGGCUAACUACGUG